AGCGAACGCUGGCGGCAGGCCUAACACAUGCAAGUCGAACGGACCCUUCGGGGUUAGUGGCGGACGGGUGAGUAACACGUGGGAACGUGCCUUUAGGUUCGGAAUAGCUCCUGGAAACGGGUGGUAAUGCCGAAUGUGCCCUUCGGGGGAAAGAUUUAUCGCCUUUAGAGCGGCCCGCGUCUGAUUAGCUAGUUGGUGGUGUAACGGACCACCAAGGCGACGAUCAGUAGCUGGUCUGAGAGGAUGAUCAGCCACAUUGGGACUGAGACACGGCCCAAACUCCUACGGGAGGCAGCAGUGGGGAAUCUUGCGCAAUGGGCGAAAGCCUAACGCAGCCAUGCCGCGUGAAUGAUGAAGGUCUUAGGAUUGUAAAAUUCUUUCACCGGGGACGAUAAUGACGGUACCCGGAGAAGAAGCCCCGGCUAACUUCGUGCCAGCAGCCGCAGUAAUAC
rnacentral:rRNA from 1 species